GUCCCGGAGGAAGAGAAAGCAAAUGCGAUUCCCUGAGUAGCGGCGAGCGAAACGGGAUCAGCCCAAACCAAGAGGCUUGCCUCUUGGGGUUGUAGGACACUCUGUACGGAGUUACAAAGGAACGAGGUAGAUGAAGAGGUCUGGAAAGGCCCGCCAUAGGAGGUAACAGCCCUGUAGUCAAAACUUCGUUCUCUCCUGAGUGGAUCCUGAGUACGGCGGAACACGUGAAAUUCCGUCGGAAUCCGGGAGGACCAUCUCCCAAGGCUAAAUACUCCCUAGUGACCGAUAGUGAACCAGNNNNNNNNNNCCGUGUGCCUACAAGUAGUCAGAGCCCGUUAACGGGUGAUGGCGUGCCUUUUGUAGAAUGAACCGGCGAGUUACGAUCCCGUGCAAGGUUAAGCAGAAGAUGCGGAGCCGCAGCGAAAGCGAGUCUGAAUAGGGCGCAUGAGUACGUGGUCGUAGACCCGAAACCAGGUGAUCUACCCAUGUCCAGGGUGAAGUUCAGGUAACACUGAAUGGAGGCCCGAACCCACGCACGUUGAAAAGUGCGGGGAUGAGGUGUGGGUAGGGGUGAAAUGCCAAUCGAAC
rnacentral:rRNA from 1 species